rnacentral:lncRNA from 1 species
GGCCGCACUUGUGACAUAUGGAGGUUCUCAGGCUAGGGGUCUAAUCAGGGCCACAGCCACACAGGAUCUGAGCUGCAUCUCCAACCUACACCACCACUCAUGGCAAUGCCAGAUCCUUUUCCACUGAGCGAGGCUAGGGAUCGCACCUGCAACGUCAUGGUUCCUAGUUGGCUUCGUUUCUCCUUCCAUGUCUUCUUCAAGAUUCCCAUAAUCUAGCUUCCUCAACUAAACUUUGGCUCAAAUUGUGUAUAUUCAAUUAGGCCAAGUCCUAGACUAGGUCAGCAUGGAUGGUAAACCUGGUCUCUCAUCUUUGAGAUCCAGGUAGACUAGCACAAUUUGCUGCCAUUUAUGCCAUUUCUGAACAUCACUAAAAUUCAACAUGUCUCCAUUUAGCUAUGUCCCAAAGGACCUUUGAAAGAUAGCAACAGCAGCCUCCUUUCAAGGGACUGAAUUGCUUAGACCAACAAAGUAUACAGAAUUAGAAGUUAUUGAAGCGUUCUUCACAUAGAGGUGAUAGUUAAAUCCAAACAAAAAGAUGAACCCUCUAAAUGGGAGAACUUAGAGGCUAAAAAAAGUUUGAUGUAAUCAGUAUGUGUGUGUGUGUGUGUGUGUGUGUGUGUGUGUGUGUGUGUGUGUGUGUGAGGGUGUGUGUGUGUGUGGUAGAGUGCCAUGGUAGUUUUUAUAAACCUAUUCUGCUUGUCAUUUAACCAUUCUAUAACAUUUGCUAACGCCACCUAAUUUGAAACAAACAUGCAUGUGAACUUGAUUUAGAAAAGCUUUAUUACCACUAACCUAUUUACUUUCCUAGGAUAUUGAAAAAUUGCUUUGGGUAGACAAACUCCUAAAGUUAUUGUCUAAGAGUAAAUCUAUUGAAAUGGCAAUAAGAUGAUGUAGAGGGCAUGGUGCUAUCCUCUAAAUUUUCCUUAAACCUGCUGAGCUGUGAAGACUGGGUGUAAUGUACUCUGUUGUGGCUUGAACCUCUGCCGGGAGUACAUGAUUAACAGUGUAGUGAAACAAUGCUGACGGGGACUCUGGCCAAGAACCUCCCUGUAGUAUAUGGUAGCUAGACAAUGACUUUGCCUGCUGAUGCCAAAUCAACUGAUGUGUUCUGUCAAAACUACUAGUCAAGCUGUUUAUUUGCCAUUGGGGAGAAAAAAUGAUGUGAAGAUUGCCUGGAUUUUACAAUUUACAACUGCCUCUCCUGGCACCAUCAGGACAGACUUACUGCUGCAGCUCUGUACUUCAACUUUUUUUAUUCCCUAAACUAAUCAUUUGUGUUAACACUGUAGGACUGAAAGCAUGGGCUUUGAGGUCAUCUGAGUAUCUGCGUCAGGAUUCUGGUCCCCUCACUUACUAGUUCUGUGUCCUUGCCCAGAGAAUUUUAAUUUCAUUCUCAGUUUCCUCAUCUGUAAAUGGGUAUCAGUAGAGUAGCUAAUUCCUGAGGAGGAGAGGUAGCGAAAAUAAAAGGGGGAAAUACAUGGAAAAAUCUCAACAUACUGGCUGGCAUAUAGCAUUUAAUGAAUAUUUUACUAUUAUAAACAUUAUUAAUAGCUCUUAACUCUUUACAUUACCCAUAAGCUUUAGUGAAAAGUCCUUUUUCUAAGCAGUCAUGUUUUAAUUCUACUUAUCUUUACCUUCAUAGUUAUAACAUUGAGCCCUUUUAGGAAAUGACAGUUCUGAUCCAAGUUGAAGGCUUUAAUUUUUUAAAUUUAAAAUAUUUUUUAAAGAUAAAGGUAAAAAUAGAUAGUUACAAAGGUGCUUUUAGUACUUAACUCUAAAAUUGGGGGGUGUCAUAAACUGUACAUUUCACAAUACAGUUUUUAAUUUAAAGUGUAAAAUCUUUAUAUUUGUUAGUAGUAAAAAGUUUUUAAAAAUUUGGUUCUGCUUUAGGUUUGAAAAGAUGAUGUCCCAAGCAUAAUGAUUUUAAAUGAUUUUUCCUCAAAUAAAUUGUUCAUAGUGCUCUAUUCAUUUCAUUUCAUACUAAUAAAAAAUUUUAUAUUCCCCUCUACGUUAGCAUAGAUAAGAAGUCAUAUGUCAUAAUGCAGGUGCAUACCCCAAGCUUAAAGUGCUUUCCUGAUGAAGAAUUGGUGGAAGUUGCCACAUGUUCAUUUUGUUGUUGUUGUUGUUGUUGUCACCAUGAUCAUCAUUUAACUGAGAAUCCUAAAUUUAUUUCUUCUUUAUUCUUUACUUUUUCUCCUCAGAGACAAUUAUAAUUGAACAAGCUUGCUUCAUGACGUCAGUGUAGUAAUAGUGUCUUUUUUUUGUUAGGAUAUCCACACCCUAAAUUUAGACAAGGGACUGCAGAUUGGCAAGCAGCUCUGGGUCCAUAGAGGCCUUGACCAGGUCAGUCCAUUAGUCAGAGUCUGGCUGAUUAAAUACUGCUUAAGAUUCUUGAUUUAAUGGCAUUUACCCUAAUGUUGGCAUAAGGUCUUUGCUUAUUGAGUUCUAUAAGAAUUUCUUUAAAACUAUAUUGUAUUUUGAGAACAUUCCAUCACAGUCUAUCUUCCUUGCAAACUAAUAUGUGUCAGACUCAUUAUCAUAGUGACCAAAUCUCCUAACCUUUUCUUAAAAUAGAAAUCUAGUUUUUAAACUUUACUUUCAUCUCCGUAUAUAAUGUCAGCAUUCAGAACAUCCUUGGGAUUUAUAAAUAUUGCCAAACCAAAGGAUGUUUGGUACUUCCAAUUGCUAGAGCUUUAGAAAGGCAUUUACCUAGGAGGGAUAUCAAAUAAACAAUAGGUGAGUGCUUUCAACCCUAUGACAUUGCAAUGAAUUUCCAAGUAUGUUGUAAAAUAUUAGACUACUAUGUAUUUUAUACCCAAAGUAGCUCUAUUAUUAUCACAAGAAGAUACAUUGUACUCUAAAAUGUUGAUUCAUUAAUUAAAACCCCCAUUCAAUGAUUAUUUGUUAAAUUUGUUAAAUUCAGUUAAGGAUCUGGUGUUGUCACUGCUGUGGCUCAGGUCACUGCUGUGGUGGGGGUUUGAUCCCUGGCCCAGGAACUUCCACAUGCCAUGGGGUUACAGGGAAAAAAAAACACAAAGCAAACAAACAAAAAAACUCAAGACAUGGUGAAUCGGAUGAUAAAAAAUGCUCUGAAAUAAAAAACAGCAAAGAAAUAGGAAUGCAAAAAGGGGUAGUAUAUUUAAUGUAGUGAGAUGCAAUUUCUCAGAACAGGCAAUAUUGGAAUAUAGAAGGAGAUGAGGAUGCUAGUCAUAUUUAGAAUAUACAAAUAGACUAUGAUUGGAAUCAUGGAACAGUGGAUUAAGGAACAGUGAUAAGACUAAUGUGGCUGAAGCAAAAUGAACAAGAGGAAGAGUAUAGAGUAUGACAUCAAAGGGUUAUGGGUAAAGGGGUUAUACUGAACUUCAGAGGAAACUGCAAUGAUUCAGAUCCCUACUUAGGCCAAGUUGGCAAACAUUGUAAAGGAGGGAGAUGAGUUUUCUUAAAAUUUAAAAGGAUUACUCCUGUUGCCAUAUGAAAACAAUCAAAGGAAAAUAGGGCAUGAGAAGAGGCCAAAGGACCAAUUACCAGUCCAAUCAGAUGAACACUGAAAAUUAGCCAUUGGAUUUAGAAGUGUGCAGACCAUAUUGUGAUUUGAACAAGACACCAUUACAUGGCAUUUUACACCAGCAGACUCUGCAAUGGACUUUGGCAUUCUGGAUAUUUAUUAGGGAUCCACACCUGUGGAGGGAAAAGAAAGCAAAAUAGAGGGUACAUUUGAAGCAUGAUGUGUUUGGAUUGUGAUGCAGGCUCAAAAAAGCUACAAACAUAACUGUCAAGGGUAUUAUACACUGAGCUUAAAUAUCUGGGAAUUAAGAACCUGGCACAAUCACUCAUUAGAUGUGUGCCCACCAGAAGGAGUAUGUGCUUGGGUAAGGCAGUUCUCUGCAACUGAGGCAAACCCUGAAGUAGCUGGGAGAAGGAAGUACAUGAACACAAGAGAGGGGGAAAUUGUUGGAAUAAUGUCCCUUUCAAGAUGAAAGAAAAUGUUAUCUGGUUGAUCUUUGUGCAUAGUAGUGUUAACCAAUGGUUAUCAAUAUGUGUGCAUACAAUUUUAAGGUGACCUAUUUCUUUUUAGAUAAUAUCUCCAGUGACAUUAAGUUUAUGCCUAUUAGAGGAAAAUAGAUAAAAGAAAAUUUUUAUGCAAUUUUUUCCUACUCAUUUCAAAAAGUCUUCUUCAGAAGGUGAAUCUAGAACAGUUUUCUUUCAUAGAUCUAUUACUGAAUUAUUGACUUCAGCAAUCAAUAACAACAUCAUGCUGCAUUAUUAUACUUAAAAUUUGAACAGAAGUACAUCAUGUUGGAAAAUGUUUAUUGAUUUUCUGAAGUUUUAUUCUGAGAGUUUCUUGAAAUCUGUCAUGGUGGUGUCAUACUUGCCCACCACUCUCUAACUCCAAAAGGGCCUAAAAUACACACUUCACUGGUGGAGGUGAGGUAUUACAGAAAUCUAAAGUAGAGCAAUAGAGGAGGGGUCAGUGAUUCCUAUGGGAAUGAUGCUUUUUUUUUUUUGGUCAACUAAAAAAAGACUUUUUUUUGUCUUUUCAGCAUAGAGCUGUAGACAUAUGAACACACUAAACUUAAGAGCAACAAAGUAUAUAAGCCACUUAAAGUCAAACCCUGUGUGUGGUAAUUUUGUUAUACCUUACUCCAUUUCUUAAUGUUUAAAGAAGAGCUCUUAUUAAACCUUCUGACUUUGUGGAGGACAUGGUUUUAAAACUUAUAACGGAAAUGAAUGAAAUAAGCAGUACUAUGUUUUGUGUACAAAAUAUUGAAAAUACUAGGAAACAUUUGUGGGAGAGAAGUUCACUCUGUUUAAAUGCACUGAAGUUCACUCUGUUUGAAUGGGCACAGGCUGAAGGAGAGAUAAUAGCAUAGGCUUGUACACUUUUAAAAGGUGAGUGGAAAAGGACAUGGAAAUUUCUCCUCUGGAUGGCCCUGCAAAACAGUUAGCUGUCAGAUGAGAAUAACAAUUGAUGACCUCUGAAUGUUUCUUAUAACCUUAGGAUUCUCUACCAUUCUGUCCCAGAAGCACUGUUUGCUGAUGGCUAAACCACUUUAUUUCUCCACGCCUCAUUUCUCUUCCUAAUAAAUCUGCGAAUGUUCUUCUAACACAUCUGGUGGAAUGGUUGUAAGAAAGCCCACCCCUAAAGAUGAUUUUCAUCUACAGUUUAGCUCCAUUAACUGACAUUAAAAUAUCCCUACACUUUUGUGAUCCUCUUUCUUAAAAUGUGAAAGAGAAGGAUACAGGUGUAUUAAGAGUUUAUCCUUAUUGCUUAAUCAAGGCCAUGAACAGAAAGAAAGGAAAUCAUAAAAGUCAAGCACCUUUAAAGAAAACAAAUAGAGUUAAUGUUGGAUUCCGUUAUAUUCCUCCUUUUUAUAAAUUCUCAAUUCCAUCUUAUUUCCACUAUUCUCUAAUACCCAGCAACCCCUUCAGUUAGGGCAUUCCAUUGCUGGGAAUGCUCUUCUUGCUGUAACAUAUAAAAGUUCUGCUGGCUCUUCAAAUCACUCUCCCUCAUUAUAUAUUCUUCCAUUAUUUCAGGUCUCAUUGAUCUAUUUUUACUCACAAAUCCAAUAGGAUUUAUAGUUUGCAGAAGACUUCUGGAUUUAAUUACACAAGGUCAAGUAUUGUUCACCAUUGUUUCCAUUGUCUUAUUCUGUCCUCAACACCCAGCACAGUGUUCUACCAUUAAAAGAUCCUCAAUAAUUGCCCUUCUAAUGCACUGAUUCAGUCAUGAGGUUUCUAAAGGAACACUCUGUGCAUCUUUA